CAUAAUAGCAUCAAAUGCAAUGAUCACAUGUUUUAGUGCCGUGGUAGUGAUCAUAAAUGUCUUGUUGCUUGUGAAGAGAGUCUUAAAGCUGGAAGGCAAAGGAUACACAAACACAUGAUGUAAAAUGUAAAACCACUUUUUAAUUUAUCUCAAUGAAAACAAAAACAAAACAGAAAAAAACUAUGUUGUAAGGUAGAAUAACUGAUAGCAGUAUGUGUACUGUAUCACCAGCAACAAGAAGAUGAUAGUUGGUGCAUUUAGUAAUCAAGCCAAAAUAUUCAAAGUACAGUCAUUAACAGAAAAAGGCUCUCAAAUUGCCUUAAAAACCAUAGACAAUAUACAGUGAUGUAGAAUCCCUAUACAGAGAAAAAACAAUUUCAGAUUUCAUUUCAGGUAUUAGUCAUAAUAGACGUCCUAUUGGGGCAGAAACAGUGAUGUAAUAUUAGGUACAAUUAGUAUUUUGACAAGAAAAAUAUCAGAGCUCAAACAUUAAAGGCUCCACUUUGAUUUGUCACAAAAAUAAUUGUCAACACCUGUUUCACAGAUAAGCUUAAACCUAGCUUCAGGCAUACUGGUCUGAUAAAACAGAAGACCCAGGUUCAGUUUCAAAAUUUGCUGCCAAUUAUAAUUUAGUUCACAAAAACAUUCUUGAUGCAUCCAAGACUCUCUUACUCUUUCCUCCCUGUUCUCUUCAACAACAUUUCAUCAAAGAAAUGUCAGUUGUCAGAAUCCUCCUCCUUUCUUUUUUUCUUUUCCUACUCAAAUGAUCUCUUUCUGUAACAGCCUUGUUUCCGCUCUAAGGUCAGACCAAAGUAAAGCAUGAUGUUAGUGUUUUCUCUGCUUAGAACUGAACACCCACACUCCAGCAAAGGAAUGGAAAGUGCAUAAAACAUGAGGAACGAGUUUGUGCCCACCAUAGGACUACCUCAGGGCAAGUUGCAUAUGAUCAGCUACACUGAUGAAGGCCUAGGAUACGCCCAAACAUUUCUUCCUAACAAGUGAGCACUCAGGCUGAAAAUAGCACUACAUUAAAAAAGCACAAGGGUCUGUUUGGUGUGGGCAUGUUGCUACAGUGAGAAGAUGCCGUACUCUAUGCUAAUUUCAAAGUCCAUCAGACUGCUGCAUUUGUUUUUUGAUGCAGUGCUCUUGUCUUUUGGGACACAGCCUGAAGUGGUCCAGCAAAAAUUCAUCUGCGUGGCUUCUUGAAAUGUGUGGUUCUAGAAGUUUGGUGAUUAUGUGCAGGGCUGGUUGACGAACUAUUGAAAUAACUUGCACUAGCCAGCUUAAGACACAUUAGCUUGCCAGGAACAUGCUAGAACUAGUCAGGCACAAUGGUUUAUUGAAAAGAUGUGGCAUUAUCUCCUGUCUGGUAUAUUGCAGUGGUGGGCUGUCAGGGCCAGCAAGACCUGCUGUUAGAGCAUUUAUCCAAUCAGAUUUCAGCUCUGUGUUGCCAGGUUUAAGGCCUUCAGAAUCAGUGCAGGCCACUGUAAUUUAAAAUGAAUGACGAUGAAACUGUUGCCUCGCGGAUCCUUUAACCAAUCAGAUUUUGAGUUGGUGAGAUCAGGGGCCAUCUAGCUGGCGUACCAUGACAUCGUCAUUUCCAUGUCAUUUGAUUGGACGGUCAGAAAAUGUACUGGUCAGAGCUAGCAAACCACAUCUAUAGCUACUAGCACAAGCUAACACGUUAGCAUAGAUUUAAUAGCUGUUUUUUCAACCCACAACGGCUGAAGGAGGAAGAAGAGUUCAGUGACUGUUGUAGAGGUUAUCUGUGCGUCUCAGUUCCAACAAUAAGUCCUUUUCUAUCUAUGGAGGCUAACGCUGAAAGACGAGUCUGCUCAGUCAUAUUUCUCACAUAGUUCUAAUUCACCUUAUGUCUGCUCGACAGAGGCAGUUUUUUAUUAUGUGUCUACAAAUAAUCGGUGAGUAAAAUCCAUUUUACCUGUAUUUUAUUGUUAGUCUUUGUCAUUGUAUUAGUUAAUAUUGAUAUUUCUGCUGGAGAUGAUGGUGUUUGGAGACCUAUUCAACUGUGUUCAUUGGGUUUUUAGGGCAUUUUUUUAGUAAUGCCAUUUAUUCUGGCUACAUGACAUGUCUGUCUGUGAUGCAUAGUUCUGUUGUACUGUGUUUCUGUAUAUUGUUGAUGGUUUCUAUAGCUGUGCUCGGCCUGCCACUGUUAUAAUGUAUAUACUGUGUGUGUUUGCAUACCUACCUAAAAUUAAGGCAAUCAGUCCUGCAAUAAAUUUUACCUUCAUGAGGGUUAUCCUGUCUAGUUUUUAUUUUUUUUAAUUGGUGUGAUUGGGUUCUACAUUUUGUAUUAAAUCUUAAUUCAUUUGCUGGAGAGUGGGUUAAAUGCAGCUUUGAGAUCAAAAUUUUAUAUGUCUUCCUGUUAACUAUGAGCUUUAAUACCCUAAUGUUAACUCACUUCACCUACUACAAUACCAAUAAGCCCAACCAGUCUCCUAUCAGUUACAAUAGCACAGCACCAUUCAUGUUUGCCAUCACUAACACUGCCCACACUGCAACUCAAGCUGUCAUUUCCCCUACU